rnacentral:tRNA from 1 species
AUUACUUUGGCAGAUUAGUGUAUUAAAUUUAGAAUUUAAAAAUGUAUUUUAUACAGGUAAUA